rnacentral:lncRNA from 1 species
GGAAGUAAUCAUUGUAACUAAUUAUAGUAGCCUAUUGUGCAGUGAUUAAAUAAUAUGCGGAAGCCAAGCGGCCUUCUGCCUUUCAGAUGCCACCACAUAUAUAAUACAGAGCCACAUAUCCCUGGGUCAUGAAAAAAUUACAUCUGCAAAUGCUCGCUACAAAACAUAGCUAUGGGCGUGGGAUGCAACGGAUGUCAGCUGGUAUCUGUGGCGGCCUGCAGAGAUGUGCCAUUUUGGCAGUAGCCCUACCCCUUUUCAUCAGUGGGAGCCCAUGACCUUGCUCACAGGGAAUGACAUGAAUAUAAUGGAGAUCCUGAGCUGCUGCCCCUUUUGUCAGGUGUUCUACAGAGUACUUAUAUGUCC